rnacentral:rRNA from 1 species
CCUACGGGGGGCAGCAGUGAGGAAUAUUGGUCAAUGGACGCAAGUCUGAACCAGCCAUGCCGCGUGCAGGAAGACGGCUCUAUGAGUUGUAAACUGCUUUUGUACGAGGGUAAACGCAGAUACGCGUAUCUGUCUGAAAGUAUCGUACGAAUAAGGAUCGGCUAACCACGGGCCAGCAGCCGCGGUAAUACGGAGGAUUCAAGCGUUAUCCGGAUUUAUUGGGUUGAAAGGGUGCGUAGGCGGUCGGAUAAGUUAGUGGUGAAAGCCCGAGGCUCAACUUCGGAAGUGCCUCUGAUACGGGUCGGCUAGAGAGUAGUUGAGGUAGGCGGAAUGUAUGGUGUAGCGGUGAAAUGCUUAGAGAUCAUACAGAACACCGAUUGCGAAGGCAGCUUACCAAGCUACUUCUGACGUUGAGGCACGAAAGCGUGGGGAGCAAACAGGAUUAGAUACCCUUGUAGUC